rnacentral:rRNA from 1 species
AUUGAACGCUGGCGGCAGGCCUAACACAUGCAAGUCGAGCGGAUGAAGGGAGCUUGCUCCUGGAUUCAGCGGCGGACGGGUGAGUAAUGCCUAGGAAUCUGCCUGGUAGUGGGGGAUAACGUCCGGAAACGGGCGCUAAUACCGCAUACGUCCUGAGGGAGAAAGUGGGGGAUCUUCGGACCUCACGCUAUCAGAUGAGCCUAGGUCGGACUAGCUAGUUGGUGGGGUAAAGGCCUACCAAGGCGACGAUCCGUAACUGGUCUGAGAGGAUGAUCAGUCACACUGGAACUGAGACACGGUCCAGACUCCUACGGGAGGCAGCAGUGGGGAAUAUUGGACAAUGGGCGAAAGCCUGAUCCAGCCAUGCCGCGUGUGUAAAGAAGGUCUUCGGAUUGUAAAGCACUUUAAGUUGGGAGGAAGGGCAGUAAGUUAAUACCUUGCUGUUUUGACGUUACCAACAGAAUAAGCACCGGCUAACUUCGUG